GUGUUUCUAGCUUAAACAUGUUAAAUCAUGAAAUGUUGUACUCAAACUACUGAGUAAAUUUUAAUGACCAAAAUUGUUUAUUAAGGAUGUACUUAGGUGAGGUUUUGGAAUUUGUGUCAAAUGUUUGGACUCCUUGGUUUUUUUCCAUACAAUACAAUGUAAAAUAUUUUGCCCCAUAACACCCAUUUAUUUUUUCAUAUAAGACUUAAUAGCUCAUGAAAGGUCAUUUACUAAAAUUUUAUAAGAUUCUUAAUUUUCUUUCUUUUGUUUUGAGACCUAAUAAUACCAAUGCAAAAAUAAGGUAAUUUAGUCCUAGUCAGCCUUUUCCCGCCAUAUUUUAAAUCGCAAAUAUCUCGAAAAGAAGGUCCAUGACCUAUUAAUAUUUUUGGCUUAUUUUUAUCCUUAAUUGAUGCUAUAACAGCUUAUAGUAUCAAUUUUAACUUCUUAAUUUAUAAUUUUCACCUAAC
rnacentral:lncRNA from 1 species